rnacentral:sRNA from 1 species
UAGUAAUAUAAUCUCAGACUCCCUCCAU